rnacentral:rRNA from 1 species
UACGUAGGGUGCAAGCGUUGAAUCGGAAUUACUGGGCGUAAAGCGUGCGCAGGCGGUUAUGUAAGACAGAUGUGAAAUGCCCGGGCUUAACCUGGGAACUGCAUUUGUGACUGCAUGGCUAGAGUUUGGCAGAGGGGGGGUAGAAUUCCACGUGUAGCAGUGAAAUGCGUAGAUAUGUGGAGGAACACCGAUGGCGAAGGCAGCCCCCUGGGUCAAGACUGACGCUCAUGCAAGAAAGUGUGGGGAGCAAACAGG